ensembl:lncRNA
GCUGCUGCCACCCAUCCCGGCCACCCCCAGGAGGGACGGAGAUGUCCCACGUGGCGGUGGCACCGUGGCCGUCCCCUCCUGGAAGGGAGCCCGCUGGACCCACGGCCGCAGGCAAGAGAUGCGGAGAGCAUUGGCACUUCCAUGCCCUGUGCGGAUCCUCAUAGCGUGGGAAAGACGCAAGCUGCCGGCAUCCGACCCGGGGAUUUAU